UCUGCAGACAUUAGUGAGGGGAGUGUACACAGCUAGCACUCCACAUGCUAUAGAUAACACUGUACAGGCAUGCUUUGAAGAGAGAUUGUUCCGCCGUUACCCACAUUUAUACAACUUGUCCGGGAGACAAUAUAAGAUAACCCAAACGGCGUUCAACUCCUGGCGUGAAAUCGUGUGAAACACUUUGGCGAGAAGAAAAUGGACCCUAUUAAUGCACAUGCACUCUUGAUUUUUAUGGGGUUUGUCAAAUAUACAUAUCGAUAUACAGUACAUGGUCUGUGUCUGGUUGAUGAAGGUUGUCUGGAUAGAUAGAGAGAUAGAUAUAGAUGGUCUGUUUCUAGUUGAAGGUAUUCCGUAUAUAGACAUAGAUGGUCUGUUUCUAGUUGAAGGUAUUCCGUAUAUAGACAUAGAUGGUCUGUGUCUGGUUGAUGAAGGUUGUCUGUAUAUAGAUAUAGCUUGUCUGUGUUUGGUUGAAGGUUGUCUGUAUAUAGAUAUAGCUGGUCUGUGUUUGGUUGAUGAAGGUUGUCUAUAUAGAUAUAGCUGGUCUGUGUUUGGUUGUUGAAGGUUGUCUGUAUAUAGAUAUAGCUGGUCGGUGUUUGGUUGAUGAAGGUCGUCUGUAUAUAGAUAUAGCUGGUCUGUGUUUGGUUGAUGAAGGUUGUCUGUAUAUAGAUGCUCUGUGUCUGGUUGAUGACGGUGGGUGUAUAUUGAUGGUCUGUGUCUGGUUGAUGACGGUUGGGUGUAUAUAGAUGGUCUGUGUCUGGUUGAUGAAGGUUGGGUCCGUAAAUAGAUCUAGAUGGUUAUACGGUCUGUGUACGGUUGAUGAAGGUUGUGUCCGGUCUCGUAUA